AGUAAUGCGUGACCGACCUGCCCCAUGCUCCGGAAUAGCUCCUGGAAACGGGUGGUAAUGCCGGAUGUUCCACAUGAUCGCAUGUGAUUGUGGGAAAGAUUUCAUCGGCGUGGGAUGGGGUCGCGUCCUAUCAGCUUGUUGGUGAGGUAACGGCUCACCAAGGCUUCGACGGGUAGCCGGCCUGAGAGGGCGACCGGCCACAUUGGGACUGAGAUACGGCCCAG
rnacentral:rRNA from 1 species